rnacentral:rRNA from 1 species
CCUACGGGAGACAGCAGUGGGGGAUAUUGCACAAUGGGGGGAACCCUGAUGCAGCGACGCCGCGUGGGUGAAGAAGCGCCUCGGCGCGUAAAGCCCUGUCAGCAGGGGAGAAAAUGACGGUACCUGAAGAAGAAGCCCCGGGUAAACACGUGCCAGCAGCCGUGGCAAUACGGAAGGGGCAAGCGUUAUCCGGAUUUACUGGGUGUAAAGGGGGCGCAGACGGGGAUGCAAGCCAGGCGUGAAAGCCCGGGGCCCAACCCCGGGAGUGCUCUUGGAACUGCGUGGCUGGAGUGCAGGAGGGGCAGGCGGAAUGCCUGGUGUAGCGGUGAAAUGCGUAGAUAUCAGGAAGAACACCGGUGGCGAAGGCAGCCUGCUGGACUGCAACUGACGUUGAGGCACGAAAGCGUGGGGAGCAAACAGGAUUAGAUACCCGUGUAGUC